UUUGCCUACGCACGCGGCUGCAGGGAUGGCGCAUGCGCUCAUGGAGAACUCCCGCGGACAAACGCAGGCGCAGACGUAGACGCGGGCGCUGAGCGGCGUCCCUUACUGGUAUAAGAAUGGCAGUGGAAUCAUCAGAAGGAUCUUUGAUAAUGUGGCUUCCUGCCUGUCCAAAACAAGAGUGCUCAUACAGCAGGAAAUUCAGUAAUGUAUUCAGGAUUCUCAUUGACCUAAACCAUUUUCUUUGUUGCUUGUUACUGAUACUUCAUAAAACAGUCUCCACCCACAGUAAAAUAGAAUUCUUAGAUAAUUUGAAUAAUAAUUCCAGAUAAGGAAAUGAAUAUUUAUAGUAACAUAUUCAUGUAUUAAGUCUUUAUUACUACCUCAUUAUAAAUUAAUCAUGUAGAAAAUUUUCUCCUAGAAGGAGGUAUUGUAAGAACAUCUAAGUCAUUGUCCUAUUGUUACUUAAACCCAAGUUUUGCUGCCUGUUGCUUGAAAGGCCACCACUAUUCAAGAGAUAAAUUUUGAUUGGAAAGGAAUAUGAACUUUAUUCAGGAGGCCAGCUAUCUGGGGGAAAGGGUGGAUUCUUGUCCAAAUGCCAACUCCAAGGCUUCUGCCUGGCCCAGAGAUUUUGAAAUGGUUUUAAUUAGCUAAAGGAGUACAGUGGUCUGUGACACUUCUUGAUUACAUGCAGACUCAAUGAUGCCAGCUACAGAGUUAUCUUGGUAAUCAGAAGUUCUGGGUCCUUGGUACCAGGGGGUGGUUAUUAUGCAAGGGUACUCUGUUCUUUCUGCAAAGGAAGGUAAGCUCUAUGGAUGUGCAGCGGUCAGUAAAGUCAUCUGUGUGACCUUAAAAAGAAAAAACAUUUUGCUAAAAGAUUGCUGGGCUAAUCAGAACGCCAAGGCAGCUUCAAGCCAACUUGCUGGCCUCUGUGGUCUGGGAAAAUUUUGGUCCCUUAUUCCCCAAGGUCAGUGGUCUGCAAAUCUCAAAGAAGGCAAAUUAGUUUUGUUACAGAUCAAGGACCUUAAGUGAGCAGGCGAAGAGUGUGUUAACUUGAAGCAAGCUAACCCUUAAGACUGGCUGGAGUGCUGUCACACUAUGCAUGUGUGUUAGACUAUUACUCCACACAUGGUAUUCAGCAUUAGUCAGUCACCAUGUCCCUGCUGUGUGUGGAGUGUUCUUCUAAAUCCUGUGGGGUGUGAUGAUGGCAGUGUUUCUUGGAGAAGCAUGUUGUAUAAAGGAGAAACAGGAUAAACACAAGUGUAACAGAACUGCAACUAAGUGACUAGAAGAAAUCCUUGCCAACCUCGAGAUCAGAAAGAUACUCUUCUGAAUUUCUCUUAAUGCUAGAAUGCUUUGCUUCUCACAUUUAAGUUCUUCCUUUACCUGGAAUUGAUUUUUGUAAUAGAAUGAGCCAGCCUACACAUUUCUUCAACUGUUAUCCACACACAGAAAAGCUUUCAUGAAGAGUGGCUGAACACCAAAUAAAGUGACCAUAAGAUACCCAAAUCCAAAGGAACCGUUGGCAAAUGUUGUGGAAGCAAGGAUGAAAAUGACGCCAUCUUCCAGCCACUAAACAUGAAGUACAAACUCUCAUCCAAAAGCCAAGACAUCAGAGCCAUGUUGGCAAGGACAGCAAAGCAUACAGCAGAACCCAAGUAGAAGAGUGACAUCACUUCAUCCCACAGUUAUAGGCAACCCACUCACACAUGUGUAUUAAAUGGGGCUCUUUAUCCAGGACAAAAAUAGGGCCAGGACAGGCCCUUGAAGAGCCACAUGGAGAGGCCCUUCAAGGGCCUGUUAACAGUUCUGAUAACACUUUGCUCUGAACUUGCCUGCCUAGGAGUUUGACACCUGGCUUGACACACAUAAGGCAGUGUUCAAAGGUUAUAGCUGGUGGAAAGAGAUCUUAUCCACACCCUUCUAGAUUGAUGGUCUGGAAGGUGCUUGGGGACUCUGUGUUAGCCAGUUGACCUCUGGUGGUCAACUCUUGAGCUCCCAGGCAAUGGGCUCUCCACUAAGCCCCCCAGGGACUCCAUCAGUCUAAUAAAGACAGAGUGCAGAGUCAGCACCACACCUAAGAGAUAGAGGUUCAACAACAGGCUUCACAGCUGAAAAGAUCCCACUCCUUCGUAGAACAGAACAGUACAGCUGCCUUAAACGUCUUGAAUUUCUUUGGAUAUUCUAGGAGGAAGGGUCUGGAGUAUCCUGCUCACGGUAAUAGUGGGUUGUGUUAGAAUCAGAAGAAAAGUCAGUUCUUCUCAAGUCAGUUGUUCAAAGUCAGUUGUUAUCAAGAGAACAAAAAUGCAGCCUGCAGUGAAGUACAGAGCAAGACCACCUAUAUUGCUCACAAAUCAAUCCGUUUUUUCAAUUCAGAUUUUAUUUUCUACCUGUUUAAAAGUUGUGUUCUUUAUUUCUGUCAUUUAGAAGUUACCCAAGAAAUUUUACCAUACUUAUUUAGCAACUUUACAAAGUAUAAAUUCAAUAUCUGUAUCUUACCUUUUACUAUAUGUACUUAUCAAUUAACAAAUUCCAAAUUUAGGGGCACCUGGGUGGCUCAUUCAGUUAAGCAACAGCCUUCAACUCUGGUCAUGA